rnacentral:rRNA from 1 species
GUAGGGGAGCGUUCUGUAAGCCGUUGAAGGUGGCCUGUGAGGGUUGCUGGAGGUAUCAGAAGUGCGAAUGCUGACAUAAGUAACGAUAAAGCGGGUGAAAAGCCCGCUCGCCGGAAGACCAAGGGUUCCUGUCCAACGUUAAUCGGGGCAGGGUGAGUCGACCCCUAAGGCGAGGCCGAAAGGCGUAGUCGAUGGGAAACGGGUUAAUAUUCCCGUACUUGGUGUUACUGCGAAGGGGGGACGGAGAAGGCUAUGUUGGCCGGGCGACGGUUGUCCCGGUUUAAGCGUGUAGGUGUGUGUUCCAGGUAAAUCCGGUUCACUUUAACACUGAGGCGUGACGACGAGGCACUACGGUGCUGAAGCAACAAAUGCCCUGCUUCCAGGAAAAGCCUCUAAGCAUCAGGUAACAUCAAAUCGUACCCCAAACCGACACAGGUGGUCAGGUAGAGAAUACCAAGGCGCUUGAGAGAACUCGGGUGAAGGAACUAGGCAAAAUGGUGCCGUAACUUCGGGAGAAGGCACGCUGACACGUAGGUGAAGUGAUUUACUCAUGGAGCUGAAGUCAGUCGAAGAUACCAGCUGGCUGCAACUGUUUAUUAAAAACACAGCACUGUGCAAACACGAAAGUGGACGUAUACGGUGUGACGCCUGCCCGGUGCCGGAAGGUUAAUUGAUGGGGUCAGCGCAAGCGAAGCUCCUGAUCGAAGCCCCGGUAAACGGCGGCCGUAACUAUAACGGUCCUAAGGUAGCGAAAUUCCUUGUCGGGUAAGUUCCGACCUGCACGAAUGGCGUAAUGAUGGCCAGGCUGUCUCCACCCGAGACUCAGUGAAAUUGAACUCGCUGUGAAGAUGCAGUGUACCCGCGGCAAGACGGAAAGACCCCGUGAACCUUUACUAUAGCUUGACACUGAACAUUGAGCCUUGAUGUGUAGGAUAGGUGGGAGGCUUUGAAGCGUGGACGCCAGUCUGCGUGGAGCCGGCCUUGAAAUACCACCCUUUAAUGUUUGAUGUUCUAACGUGGACCCGUGAUCCGGGUUGCGGACAGUGUCUGGUGGGUAGUUUGACUGGGGCGGUCUCCUCCUAAAGAGUAACGGAGGAGCACGAAGGUUGGCUAAUCCUGGUCGGACAUCAGGAGGUUAGUGCAAUGGCAUAAGCCAGCUUGACUGCGAGCGUGACGGCGCGAGCAGGUGCGAAAGCAGGUCAUAGUGAUCCGGUGGUUCUGAAUGGAAGGGCCAUCGCUCAACGGAUAAAAGGUACUCCGGGGAUAACAGGCUGAUACCGCCCAAGAGUUCAUAUCGACGGCGGUGUUUGGCACCUCGAUGUCGGCUCAUCACAUCCUGGGGCUGAAGUAGGUCCCAAGGGUAUGGCUGUUCGCCAUUUAAAGUGGUACGCGAGCUGGGUUUAGAACGUCGUGAGACAGUUCGGUCCCUAUCUGCCGUGGGCGCUGGAGAACUGAGGGGGGCUGCUCCUAGUACGAGAGGACCGGAGUGGACGCAUCACUGGUGUUCGGGUUGUCAUGCCAAUGGCACUGCCCGGUAGCUAAAUGCGGAAGAGAUAAGUGCUGAAAGCAUCUAAGCACGAAACUUGCCCCGA